GAUGAACGCUAGCUAUAGGCUUAACACAUGCAAGUCGAGGGACCGGCGCACGGGUGAGUAACGCGUAUCCAACCUUCCCAUAACUAAGGGAUAACCCAGCGCAAGUUGGACUAAUACCUUAUGGUUAUGGAUGGGGUUGCGUCUGAUUAGCUUGUUGGCGGGGUAACGGCCCGCCAAGGCAACGAACAGUAGGGGUUCUGAGAGGAAGGUCCCCCCCAUUGGAACUACGACACAGACCAAACUCCGACGCAAGGCAGCAGUAAUGAAUAUUGGGCAAUGGACGCAAGUCUGAACCAGCCGAGUAGCGGGCGGAGUGACGGCCUUUGGUUUGUAAACUGCUUUUAUAUGAGGAUCGGUACCAUAUGAAUAAGGACCGGCUAAUUCCGUGCCAGCAGCCGCGGUAAUUC
rnacentral:rRNA from 1 species